rnacentral:rRNA from 1 species
AUGGCGACCUCACUGGUGGCGGCGGCGGAGACGGCGCUGGAGGAUAUGCCGGAGGAUGCGCUGCUCGCGAUCCUGGCCUUCCUCGCGCCGGCCGACGCCGCCGCCGCCGCCUGCACCUGUCGAGCCCUCUUCGCCGCGGCGUCUUCCCCGGCGCUCCCGCUCGCGCUCGCGCUCCGCCUCGGCCUCCCGCCGCCGCGGCCCUCCCCUGAGGCCUGCCCGGCCUCCGUGCGUCGCCUCUUCCGCUCCCUCCACCGGCUACGCCGACUCCUCGGCCUUUGGCGCCGCCUCCCCUCCUCCCACUCCGGCUCGCCAUCCCUCGUCGCGUUCGAGUGGGCUCCGCGCGCCACUCUCGCUGCCUCCCUCCUCGCACCCUCCAACCGCGGCCUCGCCGUCUCCAAGUCCCCCUUUGUGACCCUCUCCGUCGCGGAAUCCGGUGACACGGUGGCGGCUCUCGGAGAGGUUCCGGUCUGCGUCAAUUUCGUCGGGGACAACCACAUUGUGGUGGAGGCGGCGUCGGGGGAAGAUGAGGAGGAGGGGAUGGAAGGAGGAUCGCCGCCGGAGGAGAUGUAUAUGCAUUUCGCGAACCGUAGGAGCCCCGGGGCAGGGAGGAGAAGGCGGGAGAGGCAGGGAAGGAGGAAAGGUGGUCGAAUGGAGCCUGAACACUUUGUGAGGAUUCCAGAUGCUGAGCCGACCAAAGCGCGGCCGCUGCAGGGCCUGUGGAAGGGUGUAUGCGAGAAUAAGACUCUGGAAUUUUACAUUAUCAGCUAUGACGACAUUGGUGGAGUGAGUUGUCGACGAGUUAGUGAGAAUAGGGGGCAAAACUCAGGCUACUCCCCUGUCUUCUGGACUACAGAUGCUACAUUUCUUGAACCACCAUUUUCUGAACGGGAGCUGGAUCGUUAUAGUUGCCUUGAGCAUAUUGGAGUCGUUACUUGUGGCCAUACAGAGACUUGGAACAAGGCAGUCUCUCGGAUACUGUGCAUCAAUUCAAGUUUUGACCUGGUUCAUCCUCAUCUGUUAGCUCCCUUUGAUGAUACCAGGAAUGUAGAGGGGAGGAUUUGGCUUUAUGAAGAUGGAACCUUUGGGUUCGGAUUCACUGGAAGUAAUUCAAUUAUAGAUCUGAAGCAUGUCUCCAUGGAUGGUUGUAUUAUUGAUACAUAA